rnacentral:rRNA from 1 species
UAUCAAAUCCACUUUUAAUAAAAUAUUUAAAUUUCAUAUCCAUUUAAAUUAAUUUAUUGUAACCCAUAAAAACUUAAAUAUAAACUACACCUUUAUCUGAUAUAAAUUUUAAUAAAAAUUAAAGAAAAUUUAUUAAUUUUUUAAAAAUAUUCUUAUAACGACGAUAUAUAAGCUGAAAAACAAAUUUAAGAAAGGUGCAACGUGGAUUAUCGAUUAAUUUACAGGUUCCUCUGAAUAAACUAAAAUACCGCCAAAUUUUUUAAGUUUCAAGAUCAU